rnacentral:rRNA from 1 species
UGACGGAGCAACGCCGCGUGAGUGAUGAAGGUUUUCGGAUCGUAAAACUCUGUUGUUAGGGAAGAACAAGUACCGUUCGAAUAGGGCGGUACCUUGACGGUACCUAACCAGAAAGCCACGGCUAACUACGUGCCAGCAGCCGCGGUAAUACGUAGGUGGCAAGCGUUGUCCGGAAUUAUUGGGCGUAAAGCGCGCGCAGGUGGUUUCUUAAGUCUGAUGUGAAAGCCCACGGCUCAACCGUGGAGGGUCAUUGGAAACUGGGGAACUUGAGUGCAGAAGAGGAAAGUGGAAUUCCAAGUGUAGCGGUGAAAUGCGUAGAUAUUUGGAGGAACACCAGUGGCGAAGGCGACUUUCUGGUCUGUAACUGACACUGAGGCGCGAAAGCGUGGGGAGCAAACAGGAUUAGAUACCCUGGUAGUCCACGCCGUAAACGAUGAGUGCUAAGUGUUAGAGGGUUUCCGCCCUUUAGUGCUGCAGCUAACGCAUUAAGCACUCCGCCUGGGGAGUACGGUCGCAAGACUG